rnacentral:rRNA from 1 species
UACAGAGGUGGCAAGCGUUGUUCGGAAUUACUGGGCGUAAAGGGCGCGUAGGCGGCCUUCUAAGUCAGACGUGAAAUCCCCCGGCUUAACCUGGGAACUGUGUCUGAUACUGGGAGGCUUGAGUAUGGGAGAGGGAUGUAGAAUUCCAGGUGUAGCGGUGAAAUGCGUAGAUAUCUGGAGGAAUACCGGUGGCGAAGGCGGCAUCCUGGACCAUAACUGACGCUGAGGCGCGAAAGCUAGGGGAGCAAACGGG